UACGUAGGGGGCAAGCGUUGUCCGGAAUCAUUGGGCGUAAAGAGCGUGUAGGCGGCCCGGUAAGUCCGCUGUGAAAGUCCAGGGCUCAACCCUGGGAUGCCGGUGGAUACUGUCGGGCUCGAGUCCGGAAGAGGAGUGUGGAAUUCCUGGUGUAGCGGUGAAAUGCGCAGAUAUCUGGAGGAACACCGGUGGCGAAGGCGGCGUCCUGGACCAACACUGACACUGAUGAGCGAAAGCCAGGGGAGCAAACGGG
rnacentral:rRNA from 1 species